rnacentral:rRNA from 1 species
GAUGAACGCUGGCGGCGUGCCUAAUACAUGCAAGUCGAGCGUACAGAUAAGGAGCUUGCUCCUUUGACGUUAGCGGCGGACGGGUGAGUAACACGUGGGUAACCUAUCUAUAAGACUGGAAUAACUCCGGGAAACCGGGGCUAAUGCCGGAUAACAUGUUGAACCGCAUGGUUCUACAGUGAAAGGCGGCUUUGCUGUCACUUAUAGAUGGACCCGCGCCGUAUUAGCUAGUUGGUGAGGUAACGGCUCACCAAGGCAACGAUACGUAGCCGACCUGAGAGGGUGAUCGGCCACACUGGAACUGAGACACGGUCCAGACUCCUACGGGAGGCAGCAGUAGGGAAUCUUCCGCAAUGGGCGAAAGCCUGACGGAGCAACGCCGCGUGAGUGAUGAAGGUCUUCGGAUCGUAAAACUCUGUUAUUAGGGAAGAACAAAUGCGUAAGUAACUGUGCGCGUCUUGACGGUACCUAAUCAGAAAGCCACGGCUAACUACGUG